rnacentral:rRNA from 1 species
UGAGGAAUAUUGGUCAAUGGGCGAGAGCCUGAACCAGCCAAGUCGCGUGCAGGAUGACUGCCUUAUGGGUUGUAAACUGCUUUUAUAAAGGAAUAACAACAGAGAUGUAUCUCUGGAUGAAUGUACUUUAGGAAUAAGGAUCGGCUAACUCCGUGCCAGCAGCCGCGGUAAUACGGAGGAUCCAAGCGUUAUCCGGAUUUAUUGGGUUUAAAGGGUGCGUAGGCGGUAGCUUAAGUCAGUGGUGAAAGUUUGCAGCUCAACUGUAAAAUUGCCAUUGAAACUGGGUUACUUGAGUACGGUAGAGGUAAGCGGAAUGCGUUGUGUAGCGGUGAAAUGCAUAGAUAUAACGCAGAACCCCAAUUGCGAAGGCAGCUUACUGGACCGUUAACUGACGCUGAGG